rnacentral:misc_RNA from 1 species
ACCCUUUGUGAACUUAUACCUUACUGUUGCCUCGGCGCAUGCCGGCCCCCCCUGGGGGCCCCUCCUUCGGGAGGAGCAGGCACGCCGGCGGCCAACCUAACUCUUGUUUUUACACUGAAACUCUGAGAAUAAAACAUAAAUGAAUCAAA